UAAACAAGAGUUAAACCUUAUCUUUUCUUCAUAGAACUUUGUGGACUUCAACCAUGAUUAAGUUUUUCUUGCUUGCCGUUCUCAUUGUAGGCAUUAGUGCAGCCCCCAUGAGCAUGACCAUCACACCCCUGACCCCCUCGAACACUCCCAGCUUUGUCAUGAGAUCCAACACACGGACUGUAGUACCUUUACAACAAUGGUAGUGUGUGCCUCAAAUCAUCACACCUAUCAGAACAGCUGUGAAUUUGCCAAAGCUGAGUGCAAACAUCAUCAUGAAGGGCUAACUCUGGAGGCGGUGCACUACGGCGAAUGUCUACAUCACGAACAUGGUCACAAAGCGUAAAAUAAAUUAACCUAAAAUCACA